UUGUGCGCCUGUUAUGUUGAGGGAGUUACAUGACCUCUUUGUUUUACCGCAGCAACACUCCCAAACACAGCAGACGUGUGUGAGCAUGUAAACAACUGAAAAAACGAGCAUUUCCUGAGGUCCAACUGUGAGCGAGAGGGAACAACUUCUGUCAAGUUAUUGAUGUUGAGAAACUCCGGUUGUUUUUUUGUGACCAGAUUGAAUCAAAGAUGGCGAGUCCAGCCCGUGACCCUGUGGCCGGAUGGAGAAACAAUGUUGGCCAGACCGUAGGAACUGCCCACAGAGGACAUCUGAUUUAAAGUGAUACCCAUUUUCAUUGGGUUACAGUGCGGACUCCCUGCUACGAGGCUGUCAUGGCUGUUCAAUCCCUUCCUCCUCACACAUGUCUUUUGGUGCCACAUCAGAAGGAGAAGAAAAGCCUCAAAGCAGCAGAUGACGAAGGGCUCCAGGGCCUUACACAAACAGUCUAAAGAAACAGUGAUAUACAGCCUCCGCUGACAGCGGCAAAUAUUGACCAUCCUGACCUCAGAUCUAUGUAGGUCAUGUGAACGAUUCCUUUCUGUUCACCUAGAUGGAGUGUCAGUGUUGCUACUGGUUUAUCAUUCAGCUUGUAAUUAAUCAAAUGCCACAAGCUCGGCACUAUUUAAAUCCUACCUAACCAGCCAAGGUUGUAGGAAUAUUUGAUACUUCAGCCAGCUGAUACACAGAUCUAUAGAGUCCUGAAACUGACAAAAAGCAGUAUAAUUUAAAAAAAUAACUGAAUACAUCAAUAAUAAUUGUUAAGUAAAUAAUAGUAAUAAAGUAAAUAAAGUUAUCAGAGGUAAGCCUGUGUCAGGCAAGUAAGUCCCCUCCAUUGUAAAAUGCUUUUAUUUGUUCAGAUUUCAUACAUGGGAUUUUUACCUCCACCCCCAACAGAGGUUAAAAUCACCACAGACCUCACUGUGGACAAUUUUCAUAGGGAGUCUUUCUUCAGUAGAAAAUACUCCUAUGGACAUUGUAGACAGUUUAUCCUGUGGAUUAUCCAUUCACCUCCAUUGUACUGGAUUCUGGAAAGAGAUGUUGCUGUUGAAUGUUUUUGAUGCUUUCUAAUUCUCAGUGUGCACAGAAGAAAUUUCAUUGUAUUGUGGUAGAGACAGGAAUCAGGAAAGGAAGACUCAGGACCUUCUUGUUGUGAACAACAGUGCUAACCGCUGCACCACCGUGCCAUCCUCCAUACAGAUCUACCUUCCUCUCUAGAGAAUUAGCAUUUGUGUUUAAAUCAGUUUUGAUCCUUUAUCUCUACACUAGUUGGAGUUCCACUGUCUAGUGCAAGCAAAUGAUUUUGCUGAUACACAAGUCAAGGUCGAUUCUCCUGUGUUUGCAGGGCUGAAAGCCAUACACACACUGACACACAUACACUGAUAUAAAUGCUGCUGGGUGAGAUGGAAGACAAGCAGUGAGACACAGUGGCCAUGUUGACUCAGCUCAGGAAAUAAACAGACUGACAGACUGGCACCUCACACACACACAGUCAUGCUCCAACUGGCAACAUGAUACGAUAUUUUCAGCCAAAUUUCCAUCCCCUGUCAUUUUUUUCCCUGAAGCUGUGUUGACUCGUGCUUUUGUCUUUACCGAAAUAUUACUUUUUUAAUCCAUUUCUACUGAUUUCUUAGUAGAAAUGGAGUAAUAAUCCACAAGAAACAGCCUGGUAAAGAAUCUGCUUUCACAUACAAUAAUCUAGCCUUCCACUAGCCACACAUCAAACUGAUUUCAAAUGGAGGCCACUUAAUAAUAAAUUGGAUGAGCACCGAGCCAGUUCUUAUCUAACAGGUUUGGUAUCAGGAAUAGGAGCAUAGGGGAGGUAGAGGAGAGGAUCACUGGAAGAUAGGAGGAGCCUCGUGCUGCUGACCUAUCCUGCGUAACAGAGUGGACCAUCUCCAGAGGUGUCAGUGUCAGCCUCUCCAUCAGCAGUCAGUCCAAGGCCUCUCAACGCCACAGCGGUCCAGUGCCCAAUCCAUACUGGUGUGAGCAUCCAUGCAGACUCUGCUCUAAAUAGGGACAGGUCAAGGGACAUGACAAGCAAGCUAACAUGCAGGCUGCUGGCCUCCCAUUGGGAGCAAUUUGAGGUUCAGUAUCUUUCCCAAGGAACCACCCACCCUGUGAUUAGCAGAUGACCUGCGCUACUUCCUGAGCCACAGCCGCCCAAUUAAGUUGCCUAUCAGGCCAGUGGAACCAGAACAUGCAGUUUAGCCUAAGCAGGUACAAUGUAGAUAUUAGGCUGGUUCAAGCUGCAGAGUAUCUUCUCUUUGCUUAGGUGAGGGUAGUAUUUAAAGGUAGCUUAAAGGUACUUCAGGUCAGGAUUAGAGAAUUGUGUCAGAACAUCAUUAAACACGGUUAAGAAUGGCAAAUGUCACAACAAUAAACCACUAAAGUCUUAAAACUAAAAGUGUGUGCUAUGUGUUUGUGUCUUUCUUUGCCUCAGACGUGGUCAUCAUUGCAACAAUGAGUGCAGAUCAAACCCAUCAUCUUUUUUGUUUUCAUUUUUUAAAGUAUUAUGAAUAAAUCCAUGGUAUGCAUCAUAGAAAGUUUAAGAAACUAAAGGGAUAAAAAUGAAUAUGUGGAGCUCAAUGUUUGCCCAACUUUUCAUUUUUCUUUCUUACAUCACUAUAUCUGUGUCUAAGUUUGGGUGUCUUUUCUAUUCUUGCUUCCUUCAGAGUUUACAAUUGUUCCACAGGAGAUAAUACAUUCUGACCGGGAUGCUUAAUGUGCUCACCUUCCCUAUGGCUCCAUCUCUUGGGGUGUCUUGCAUCAGUGAUGAGUCUUCUCACUCACAGAAACAGAAAUGCCAGCGAGUCGCUGCACACAAUUUGAUUCACUGCUUUUUCCAAGCUCUCAUCCAUCUGCUCUUUGUCUCCCUCAUACCUCCCUCACUCCCUCUUUCUUUUUUGUCCUACAUGCCUUGUGUUGCCCAUGGUUUUCACUCUGACUCCUGAAUGGAAAUAAUGGGCACAGUCAUAAAUAUUCAUGAAUAUUUGUUGGUUUAAUAUCCAAAGAUUGCC